UUAUGUUUCUCUUCGUUUUCUUGACCACAAGACAUAUUUACUCAGGAAUUGAUGAUCUACUACUCAAGUAAUUGUUAUGAAUACAAAUAGCAAAUUUUUCGUGCCUCCUACGUAUCUCUGGGCUAAACAGAGAUGGUUAUCAUUUAUUUAUUUAACAAGAUGUUAAAUGUCUACUAUGUGCCAAGCACUGCAUUCCAUCUGUGUGUGCUAGGGGUUUGUUAGUGUGCCUAUCUUCAGGUUAUGUGAAAGAGUACUGGAUUACAUGCUAAAAGAACCAAAGUCAACUACUGCCUCUCUGACAUACAUGCAGACUUCCCUUGUUCAUUUCUGGACCUCAAUUUCCUCAUCUACAAUAUGAAGAUAAUAAUCUCUGAUCUGACUACAUUGCAAGAUUAUUAUGAAGAUUAAAUAAGUACUUCACCCAGGCUCAUUUCAUUCUUCUACACCUAUUCCAAUGGAAUUGCAAGAGUUAUUGUCCCCCUGGACUUCCGAAGUGGAAAGAAUAGGAGAAAAUGUAAGGAAGCUGCUCUUUGAUCUCCGUGUACAUCAAUUACAGGAUUAUUGAGUGCUUGAUUUGUGCCUGACAGUGAAGAAAACAGGCAAAAACUCCUGCCCUCGUGGAGCUGAUAUUCUGAUGAGGAGACGCACACAAUUAACAAGCAAAUAAUUGAAUAGCCAGCAUGCCAGAUGUUGGUAAGAGUAACACCUAGACUGAUGUUCGACCAAAUAUCUGCCUGCCAUGACCUAGCUAAGCUUAUACAAAAGUAACCAUCACAUCUGGGUAAAGAAACCAGAAGAAGGGAAAGAAAAGAAAGAGGACAAAGGCAGACAGCUGCAGUGCAAUGUGGGAUUCAGAAAAGAAAUGCAUACUCCUCUUCCCUCAAGGAGUCUACAGUCUGUUAGGAGGAACAGACAAGCUGGCAGAAAAG
rnacentral:lncRNA from 1 species